CAUCAUCAAAGCUUGCUUUGAUGGAUGGCGACCGGCGCACGGGUGAGUAACACGUAUCCCACCUGCCGACAACACUGGGAUAGCCUUUCGAAAGAAAGAUUAAUACCGGAUGGCAUAGUUUUCCCGCAUGGGAUAAUUAUUAAAGAAUUUCGGUUGUCGAUGGGGAUGCGUUCCAUUAGGCAGUUGGCGGGGUAACGGCCCACCAAACCUACGAUGGAUAGGGGUUCUGAGAGGAAGGUCCCCCACAUUGGAACUGAGACACGGUCCAAACUCCUACGGGAGGCAGCAGUGAGGAAUAUUGGUCAAUGGACGAGAGUCUGAACCAGCCAAGUAGCGUGAAGGAUGACUGCCCUAUGGGUUGUAAACUUCUUUUAUACGGGAAUAAAGUGAGUCACGUGUGGCUUUUUGUAUGUACCGUAUGAAUAAGGAUCGGCUAACUCCGUGCCAGCAGCCGCGGUAAUACGGAGGAUCCGAGCGUUAUCCGGAUUUAUUGGGUUUAAAGGGAGCGUAGGCGGGUUGUUAAGUCAGUUGUGAAAGUUUGCGGCUCAACCGUAAAAUUGCAGUUGAUACUGGCGACCUUGAGUGCAACAGAGGUAGGCGGAAUUCGUGGUGUAGCGGUGAAAUGCUUAGAUAUCACGAAGAACUCCGAUUG
rnacentral:rRNA from 1 species